AUUCUGGCAUCACAGAGGGCGGCCAGAGGGAAAUGAGAGGAGACCCUAUGCUCAGCAAUACCAAGGCACCUCCCUGAGCGGCCUCCCUCUGUGGACGGGCAUUUCACAGGCUUCCCCACAAGGAAGCAGCAGGGUGGUAGUGCCCAGGUCCACAGGCCACAAAUCCCAUCGGCAUUGUCAGGUUCUGUGCUUCACUGCAUAAGGGUCAAGACCACAGAUGGUGGCAGCGACCUGAAGCUCCCAUCACUCAGGGGAUGAUGGGUCCUUGUCCUUCCCCCUCCAGAGUGUCAUUCUCAUUGUCCUUUGACAAGGCAUAUGUAGGUAUCUUCUCUCCUGUUCACCUGUCAGCCUUGCAGCAGCUGGUGUAGACUCUCACACCUGUGUUUGGUGAAAGCGAACAUUCCUAUUUGUCAUUCUGAUUUUGUCCAAUGGCCUUUCCAGGGUCCCUUGGUCUCUCCUCUGCUUGGUGAGGGGUCCUCGUGCUUCUUGAGAGAUGGCAGCUCAUGUGGGCGUCCGAGUCAGCCUGCUGUUGGCUGCAUGAUUUGUUUGGGGAAGUUAUCUUUUGUCCCUGAGCUCCUCCACCUGCUGACCCCCUGCCUGGGAAAGAACCAGGUGUGCCGCAGGACUCUCAACCAUGCAGAGGAGAUGGGCACUGAAGGAAGAACCAAAAUGUGGAAACUCCUAUCCUCAGAUUCCACCUGGUUGCAAGAAGGGCCAAAGUCUUUGUGGCCAAGCAGGAGUCAAGACAGAGCCCCAAUCCAUGUGAACAUUGCAGAUACCAGGAUGCCAUUACUUGGUCAGACCCCACCAAAACAGGACAGGGAAGGUGUGAAGGAGAGGAGGCUUACACAUCUGAGGUAAGAACUGCUUCCAAGGACUUGCUAAAAAUCCCACAAGAAACCCUUUUAUUUCCUUCAUGAAUCUCCUGCCUUGACAAGGUUUACCAGCAGACAUUCUUUAGGACCUCAGUAAUUCAGAUGAGAUGCCCUUGAAAGGACACUUGCCCAGCGAUGGCAUCUUUACCAAUGAACUGACAGUAACUCUGUCUUUGAGCCUCUGGACCAAUGGACUCUGUUUCUAGGCAGUUUAUGUGGACCUCUCUCUUUUUCUAAUAAAAGCUUCCCUUUGCCUUCCCUCACAGGAUGCAUUGGCUGUUUGCCAUCCCAUACAUUCUGGGUUAUAAUCCUCAUUUCUCACUCCCAAGUAAACUCAUAUAUUUGGAGAUAAUUUUCUCUACGGUCUUUUUUUUUUUUUUAGGUUGACACCUAUGUGCUGAAAGAGGAAGUAAUGGAUGCCAGUUCCAAGACCAGGACUCUAAGAGCUGGAGCCUGAUCCUCUGGUUUCCCUCCCACAGUGACCAUGGAUGCCUUUUUUUCCAGAAAGUGCAGUUCUCGAAGGCCUGAGUCCUGGUUUAACUCUAAUAAAAUUUCUUAAUAUUGAAUACUUAUGUGUCUCUAUAGUCAAGUUCAAGAAAAUACUUUCUAUUGAGCCUCACUGCUUAUCAGCAAGUGUCUCUCUCAUCUUUUAACAUUUAUAUAAUGUGAUUUUUGUCUUGUAGAAUAUUUUAAAU
rnacentral:lncRNA from 1 species